rnacentral:rRNA from 1 species
UACGUAGGGUGCAAGCGUUAAUCGGAAUUACUGGGCGUAAAGCGUGCGCAGGCGGUUAUGUAAGACAGUUGUGAAAUCCCCGGGCUCAACCUGGGAACUGCAUCUGUUACUGCAUAGCUAGAGUACGGUAGAGGGGGAUGGAAUUCCGCGUGUAGCAGUGAAAUGCGUAGAUAUGCGGAGGAACACCGAUGGCGAAGGCAAUCCCCUGGACCUGUACUGACGCUCAUGCACGAAAGCGUGGGGAGCAAACAGG